CGGCAACAGCUCAAAUUUGAAAUCUGGCCUCUUUCGGGGUCCGAGUUGUAAUUUGUAGAGGAUGUUUUGGGUACCGCGCUGGUUUAAAUUUCUUGGAACAGAACGUCAUAGAGGGUGAGAGUCCCGUCUAGAACCUAUAGCCGCGUCCAUGUGAAACUCCUUCGAC
rnacentral:rRNA from 1 species